rnacentral:rRNA from 1 species
UACGGGGGGGGCAAGCGUUGUUCGGAAUUACUGGGCGUAAAGGGCUCGUAGGCGGCCAACUAAGUCAUACGUGAAAUCCCUCGGCUUAACCGGGGAACUGCGUCUGAUACUGGAUGGCUUGAGUUCGGGAGAGGGAUGCGGAAUUCCAGGUGUAGCGGUGAAAUGCGUAGAUACCUGGAGGAACACCGGUGGCGAAGGCGGCAUCCUGGACCGAUACUGACGCUGAGGAGCGAAAGCCAGGGGAGCAAACGGG